rnacentral:rRNA from 1 species
CAGUCGCCGCGGGAAUACGGAGGGGGCUAGCGUUGUUCGGAAUUACUGGGCGUAAAGCGCACGUAGGCGGCUUGGUAAGUUAGAGGUGAAAGCCUGGAGCUCAACUCCAGAAUUGCCUUUAAGACUGCCGAGCUAGCAGGUGAGAGAGGUAAGUGGAAUUCCGAGUGUAGAGGUGAAAUUCGUAGAUAUUCGGAAGAACACCAGUGGCGAAGGCGGCUUACUGGCUCAUACUGGACGCUGAGGUGCGAAAGCGUGGGGAGCAAACAGGAUUAGAUACCCCGUAGUCCCUGUCUCUUAUACA